UGUGGAAGACCUUCUUUUCAGCAACUACCCUCCAGUGGUAACUGCUCUAUGGCACACCUGAUGUGACAACUACAGGUCAUGGCAAGAUUUAUUGCCAGCUGAUGAUAGGAUGCUUCUUCCACAUACAAACAGCUUGGGGUAAAAUUUCUCAGCCCAACACAAUGUCUCAGGAUUAAUUUUGUGGAAUCUUUCAGCUGAGGUGCAGUAGGGAUUGUGAGGAAAAUCUCCAUGUUGAGGGGAACUAAUGCUGGAUCAGAACAAGUUGUGUCGUAAUAUG